rnacentral:rRNA from 1 species
AGUGAACGCUGGCGGUAGGCCUAACACAUGCAAGUCGAACGGCAGCACAGUAAGAGCUUGCUCUUACGGGUGGCGAGUGGCGGACGGGUGAGGAAUACAUCGGAAUCUACUUUUUCGGGGGGGAUAACGGAGGGAAACUUACGCUAAUACCGCAUACGACCUACGGGUGAAAGCAGGGGAUCUUCGGACCUUGCGCGAUUGAAUGAGCCGAUGUCGGAUUAGCUAGUUGGCGGGGUAAAGGCCCACCAAGGCGACGAUCCGUAGCUGGUCUGAGAGGAUGAUCAGCCACCCUGGAACUGAGACACGGUCCAGACUCCUACGGGAGGCAGCAGUGGGGAAUAUUGGACCAUGGGCGCAAGCCUGAUCCAGCCAUACCGCGUGGGUGAAGAAGGCCUUCGGGUUGUAAAGCCCUUUUGUUGGGAAAGAAAAGCAGCAGGUUAAUACCCCGCUGUUCUGACGGUACCCAAAGAAUAAGCACCGGCUAACUUCGUG